ACACAUCAACAGGUUAUGAGAACGUAAGGAACCAUGAAUCUAGUAGGCCAACUUCAAAUAAUGAUAAGAGUCAAAGUGGAUUGUUUGAUGACUACUCAUCAUAUGUCGCUGAGAAGAAUACAUCAGGAGGUAUCUUAUUAGAGCUUGACCAUUAUCUUGAAGAGAAAGUAUGUCCACCAGACAUGGAUCUUGAUAUACUAGCUUGGUGGAAAACAAACGGUUUGAAGUACCCGAUGCUCCAAAGAAUAGCCCGAGAUGUAUUAGCAAUCCCUAUAACAACUGUUGCCUCUGAGUCUUCCUUUAGUACAAGUGGUAGAUUGUAAGCCCUCAUCGUAGUCGUCUUCAUCCAAACACAUUGGAAGCGUUGAUGUGUGCUCAAAGUUGGUUGUUAAAUGAGAUAAGAGCAACUUGUUCAAAAGAAACCGAAGCAUAUUGUCAAACAAUUGAGCAUGACUAUGACGAUAGUGACGAGGUAAGUAUACAUUUUAUGUUCCAAAUUUAUUGUGUUUAUUAUGUUAUUUUAGUUAUGAUUUAUUUGAUGGUGUAUUCUUUUAUUUCUUUAACUAUAGGAAAACAAUUUGAAGGAAUGAGGGUGCAAAGAUGACUACACGUCUACAUGGUCUUCACGAAUGGGCGAAUGGCAUACACUUUCUUUUUUGUAAUCAUUUGGUGCAACUUUUUUGAAACAUCAACAUUGUCCCCUUGUACUAAAAAUCGUGAAACAUCGACUUUGCACUAUUUUUGUCAUCUAUGAAUUUGAAUUUUUUGUUUACAUUGAGGUAUUUUAUUUUAUAUACUUUGCCAUUAAUUGAUAUAUUUUCAUAAUGAUAAUGCUUUAGUAGUUACCCGACGGGUUUGGGUCGUCUAUACCCAACGGGUAACUUUUUAGAUUAAUGGGUUUACCCGAAACCCGUGGGUUUACCCGAUACCCGAUGGGUAUUUACCCGAUAGAAACCCGACGGGUUUUG